rnacentral:rRNA from 1 species
CGCAAGGGUGAAUUGGACUCGGGGGGAAGUAUGCUCGCAAGAGUGAAACUUAAAGGAAUUGACGGAAUAGGCACCACAAGAUGUGGAGCUUGCGGCUUAAUUUGAUUCAACACGGGAAAACUUACCAGGUCCAGACAUAGUGAGGAUUGACAGAUUCAAGUUCUUUCUUGAUUCUAUGCAUGGUGGUGCAUGGCCGUUCUUAGUUGGUGGAGUGAUCUGUCUGGUUAAUUCCGAUAACGAACGAGACCUCAGCCAUCUAACUAGCUGUCACUAUGGAAAAUAGUGCUCGACUCAGGUCGAGUUCAGCUUCUUAGAGGGACAAUCUGUGUUCAGCAGAUGGAAGAUUGAGGCAAUAACAGGUCAGUGAUGCCCUUAGAUGCUCUGGGCUGCACGCGCGCUACAAUGACGCACGCAACGAGUUCCUUGCUCGAAAGAGCUGGGCAAUCUUUAAUGUGCGUCCAAGUAGGGAUAGAUGAUUGUAAUUUUUCAUCUUGAACAAGGAAUAUCUAGUAAACGCAAGUCAUCAACUUGCAUUGAUUACGUCCCUGCCAUUUGUACACACCGCCCGUCGCUUCUACCGAUUGAAUUACUGGGUGAACUGGAUGGAUUGGACUUGGUUUCCGAACCAUGUUUUAGAAGUCCCCGUGAACCCAGUAAUUUA